UUUAUUAUAAACAAAAACAGCUGUUGUGUCAAACAUUCCGUUUGCAGAAAAACAAAACAAUUGUGUCGGACAUUGAUUUCAACAAUUUCUUCGCGUAUAAUUGAAAAAAAUACGUAAAAAUUAUGAAUUUCCUGCAAAAUAAUAUAGAACAUUAUACCCCAACGAAGGAGCAACUAAAACCCUUUCAUCAAAUUAAGUGUUCGCAACCCAAUUGUUCAAGUAUCUUUACCAAUCAAGCUAAUUAUGAAAUGCAUUUGGAAAAGCAUCAUCGAUUAGCACCGGCUGAGAAGACAUCAUAUACCCGGUUAUUUUAUUGUCCGGAAGAGAAAUGUAUUUAUAAUUAUGUUACCACACAAAGUAAACAUUUUAAAAAUUUCAAGUAUUUACGGCAACAUUAUCAAAAAGUACAUUUGAGUAAGGAUUACAUUUGCGAGGAAUGCAAGAAAUCUUUUGCCACAGAAACACAACUGAAUAAACAUCAAAAGGAUCAGUGUGGUAAAAAGUUUAUAUGUAAUGAUUGUCAUUGGUCUUAUGACUCCAUGGAAGCUUUGCUAACCCAUGGCAAGCGUAAAGGCCAUAAUGUUAAGGAAAUAGUAGCACAAAAGAAAAAUCAAGGUAAAAUGGCUUUAAAGCCUUUGAAGAAGGCGAACAAAGAGGAACAGCCGGCGGGAUUAAAUAAACAGCAAGUAGCUAAAGAAAUACAAGUUGAUUUCUGUCCCAAACUGUUGUGUGCCACAAGUGUUCAAACGGAUUUUCUCCCAGUUAUAACAGAAACCAACAGUCAGCAAGAUAUUUCCAAUGCUCUAGAUGAAAUACAUUCUUUACUAAGAGACAUAGAAACCCAAACAGAACCCUUAUUGUCUUCCUCAUCAUCAUCAAACGAAAAUCACAAUUAUUUGGAUCAAAUGUUAGCGCAAUCCUCUCAUAUGUAUACCCAAACUUGUGAUGAUUUCCUGACAGAAUUGGGCCUAGCUGACAUACAGACUCAAACAAAUUGGCCUUCUCCGGAUGCCCACAAUGAAACAUCAAAUGUACAAUUUACGUCGACAGCUACUUCUACUAAUCCUUGUAUACAUGAUGAAUUGCUAGUAUCCACCGAAACACAGACAAGUUUUACCCAAUGUUUGCUAAAUUCUUGCAACGAUGCUGGCACUAGUACUCCUCCAGUCUCAUUUGGCAGUCUUUAUCAUACCCAGCAUACACAGACAUGUGAUCCUCUAUUGGAAAGUUUUGAUUUUGGCGGUCAAGCAUCAGAUUUAAUUGAUGGUUUUCAGUCGACUUACACGCAAACAUGAUGGUACGAUUGGGAUUUUGCCGGAAGUUUGGAUAGAGGUGAAAGCGCUGGUGUUGGCGUAGCGAAAAAAUCCCAAGAAUCUAAUGAGAAAGUGUAAAAGUGUCAGCCGCCGCCGUUGUUAACGUUUGUCAGCGCAGAUCUCUUAAUUUAACAACGACGAAGAAAAAGAAGAAACAAACAAGCAGUAAUCAAAAGCAAAGACGCAAUGAAAAUCAGUGGAAGGAAAAAAAUUUUUCGGUGUUAAUAAAACAAACAACAUUUGCAUAGACGACACACAAAUUUCACCUAGAAAGAAAGUUAAUAAAAUAAAUAUAAACAAAAACGUUGAUAAAAUAAUAAUACAUUAAAAUAUGCAAAAACAUAAACAAACAACAAAACGAAAAAAAACAAGUUUAACCAUGAAAUCAAUUGACAAGUGUUACUAUUACAUUUAACAUAUACACAAGGGGGAGGGCUGUAGUAUAAGAAAAUGUGAAAAAAAGUGUUGGAAAAAAAUAUACAAUUUGAAGAGAAAAACAGGAGAAGGAUAAAUAAUAAAAAUAAAAAAAGCAACAAAAAUAUAUUUUUAUUGACAACCCAGAAGAAAGUGGAAGGAAAAUUCUGCGUAGAAAGAAAAAAAAAGAUGUAAAAAAUCAAACACAAACCGGUCGGUGAAAAAAAACUAAAGA
rnacentral:misc_RNA from 1 species